GACGAACGCUGGCGGCGUGCUUAACACAUGCAAGUCGAACGGUGAACCUCUUCGGAGGGGAUCAGUGGCGAACGGGUGAGUAACACGUGGGCAACCUGCCCCCGGCUCUGGGAUAACUCCAAGAAAUUGGGGCUAAUACCGGAUGUUCACCGCUUCCCGCAUGGGUGGUGGUGGAAAGGGUUUCCGGCUGGGGAUGGGCCCGCGGCCUCUCAGCUUGUUGGUGGGGUAGUGGCCUACCAAGGCGACGACGGGUAGCCGGCCUGAGAGGGUGACCGGCCACACUGGGACUGAGACACGGCCCAGACUCCUACGGGAGGCAGCAGUGGGGAAUAUUGCGCAAUGGGCGGAAGCCUGACGCAGCGACGCCGCGUGGGGGAUGACGGCCUUCGGGUUGUAAACCUCUUUCAGCAGGGACGAAGCGCAAGUGACGGUACCUGCAGAAGAAGCACCGGCCAACUACGUG
rnacentral:rRNA from 1 species